GUUCAAGCUUAGUUUUACUGCUGAGGCCUGCUAAUUUUAUCACAAACUAGCCACAGAAAUCACCACAGAUUACUUUUUUUUCAGGGGGUUCUUCAGAAAUUCUUUGUACAGUUAUUGGCCUCUUUGUCAGCAAGAAUGAUAAAGGGAGUGGGAUAUAUCUUUCAUUAUAUUUGGACUGUAGAUUUUAUUGUAUUAUACUAUCAGGAAACCUGAAUGAAUAAAACCCCUUCUAGAUUUUGCUGUCUUGUGGAUAACAG